AACGAACACUGGCGGCAGGCUUAACACAUGCAAGUCGAACGAGAUCUUCGGAUCUAGUGGCAGACGGGUGAGGAACACGUGGGAACAUCCCUUUCAGUUCGGAAUAACGUUGGGAAACUAACGCUAAUACCGGAUACGUCCUUCGGGAGGAAGAUUUAUCGCUGAAAGAUUGGCCCGCGUCUGAUUAGCUAGUUGGUGAGGUAAUGGCUCACCAAGGCUACGAUCAGUAGCUGAUCUGAGAGGAUGAUCAGCCACAUUGGGACUGAGACACGGCCCAAACUCCUACGGGAGGCAGCAGUGGGGAAUAUUGGACAAUGGGCGCAAGCCUGAUCCAGCCGUGCCGCGUGAGUGAUGACGGCCUUCGGGUUGUAAAGCUCUUUUGUCCGGGAAGAUAAUGACUGUACCGGAAGAAUAAGCCCCGGCAAACUUCGUGCCAGCCGCCGCGGUAA
rnacentral:rRNA from 1 species